rnacentral:lncRNA from 1 species
GAGAUUCUGAAUCUCAAAACCAAUGAAAGUUUCAAAAGUUGAAAAAUUGACUUUCAUCCUUGAAUCCAGUGUACAAGUAAGCUGGUAACUCUCAGACCAAGAUUCAGCACCCCUGAGACUUGAGAAACCGUGAGUCCACUAAGGAGACACAGUCUAGAGGAUGGAUGGAAGGUCUCAUACACAGAUCAAGUCCACAGUUGAGAUUGUUAUUUGCCUCUUCUCUUCUGCCUGGGCACUGCCAAAGAAAAAAGGAGAUUGUAGCAAUUCACUGGACCCAGAACCUAGUUGAGGGAGCAUUGUGACAUGCCACUGGGCUCAGCACCCAGGUGAUGUUCCUCUCCUGCCUGGUCCCUUCCAUCAGGGAAUAUUGUACAAAUCUCUGGCCAAGCACCCAGUUGAUGUGACUCUCCUGCUCACUACCUACUCACAGGUUACAUGUCCCAUGUCGCAGAAAAUGUUGUAAUGUAUUGCUGGACCCAGUCACCAGAUGAUGUGUCUCUCCUGCCAAGGCUGUGCCCACAGAGAGCAUUUUGACAUAUCACUGGGCUCAGCACCCAGGUGAAAUGACUCUGCUGCCUGUACUCUGCUUUAAGAGGGGAUUGUAAUAUAUCUGUGGCUGAGCACCUAGGUGAGAUGACUUCUGCGUGGUUUCUGACCUCAGGAAAGAUUGUGACAUAUCUUUGCCGAAAACCUACAUGAUGUGAAUCUGCUGCUCACUUCCUACCGACAGUCUCCAAAGUUAUCAGAAACCUGCAUUUAAAAAUACCUGGCAAAGUUCCAUAGCGGACCAUAAAUCACCUCUUGAAGAGGAUCGAAUCAAGACAACAAUUGUCUGAGGGAUUGAGACAAUUCUGGAAGCCCAGCACCUAGGUGAUGUGACUUUCAUCUUUUGUUUGGACCGUGUGCACAAAAGGAAGAGUGGCUUAUCACUGGACCUCACACACAGGAGGUAUUGUGACAUAUUCCUGGAGCAAGUACCCAGGUAAUGUAACUCUUUUCUACUGCUUGGACUCUACCCAAGGAGAGAUUCUAAUGUAUCACUGGACCCAGCACCUAGGUUACGUGACUUUCCUCUUGUGUCUGAGUCUUGCAUAAAUUGUGUAUUGUGACAAAUCUCUGGGUCUAAAACCUAGGUGAUGAGACUCUUAUGCAUGAGCCCUGCUUACAGGGAUAUUAUGACAUAUCUUUUUUUUUUAAUCACCUAUGUGAUGUGCCUUUGUUUGUGUGUGUGUGUGUGUGUGCGUCCUGGCCCUGCCAAAAGUGGGGAUUGUAACAUAUCAUUAAACUUAGUACCAAGGUGUUAUGACUCACCUUGUUUGCCUGGGCCCUGCAUAUAUUUGGUAAUGUGACGUAUGGCUGAGACAAACACCUAGGGCAUGAGAGCCUUGUGCCUGGGUCCUGCCCACAAGGAGCCUUUUGGCUUAUCUCUGCAUCCAUGAACUAGGAGAUGUGACUCUUCUUUUCUGUCUGGGUUCUGCAAAAACAAGUGAUUGUGACAUAUCAUCAAACCCAGCAACUAGACGAUGUGAUUUUUCUUCCCUGCUUGAGCCCUGGAUAUGCUGUGCAUUGUGAUAUAUGGCUGGGUCCAACAUCAAGGAGAGAUUGUGACAUAUCUCUGGAACCAGAACCUUGGUGAUGUGACUCUUCUCUCCUGCUGAAGCCAUGCCCACACAAGGGAAAGUGACUUAUCACUGGGCCCAGCACACAGCGCUAUUCACAGGGAAAAUAGUGACACAUCUGUGGGGUUCUCACCGAAAUGAUGUGACUCUCUUGCCUGGGCUCACCUCUCAAGGGAAUUUUGACAUAUUACUGGACCAAGCACCUAGGCCCUGCAUUUAUUGUGUAUUGUGACAUAUGGCUUGGUCCAACACCUAGGUGGUGUGACUCUCUACUUCUUCCUGUGCCAUGCCAAAGAAGAGGAUUGUGACAUAUCACUGGAUCCAGCACCUAGGUGGAUGGUGACUCUAAGACCAGGAUUCAACACAACUAGAAGGCUUUGACUCUAAUACGAGUCACAGAAGGCUCUGCGACUCUUCUAUUUUCUCUAGGUUAUGCAAAUGGAGGUGGAUUGUGACAUAUCAUAGGGCCAACACAACACACAGUCUACAGGUGGAAUUGGGACUCUCAUGCAUGGAUCCAGUUCAUCAUUGAUACUGUGACUCAGGUGGGAUUUUGACAUAUAACUGCACCCAGCACACAGGUGAGAUUGUGACUCUUGUAUGCUCAUCCUGCCAAAAGUUGAGUGUCACCCUCACACAUGGACAGAGACUUCUGUGGUCCAUUACAUUGAUGACAUUAUGCUGAUUGAAUCCAGUAAGCAAGAAAUAGCAAACACACCAGACUUAUUCAUGAGACGUUUGCAUGCCAGAGGAUGGAAAAUAAGUCUGACUAAAAUUUAGAGACCUUCUAGCUCAGUAAAACUUCCAGGGGUCCAGUGGUCCAAGGCCUGUCAAGAUAGUCCUUCUAAGGUAAAAGGUAAGUUGCUGCAUUUGGCCCAUCCUACAACCAAGAAAGAGGCACAAUGUCUAGUGGGCCUAUUUGGGUUUUGGAGGCAACCUAUUCCUCAUUUGGGUGUGUUACUCUGGCCCAUUUAUUGAGUGACCCAAAAAGCUGCCAGUUCUGAGUGUGGUCCAGAAAAGGAGAAGGCUCUGCAACAGGUCCAGGCUGCUGUGCAAGCUGCUCUGCCACUUGGGCCAUAUUACCCAGGAGAUCCAAUGGAUCUUGAGUUGUCAGUGUAAAAUAAGGAUGCUAUUUGUAGCCUUUGGCAGGCCCCCUUAGGUGAAUCACAGCAGAGGCCUCUAGAAUUUUGUUCUUUC